GCAUAACGCGAAGAACCUUACCAAGGCUUGACAUAUACGGUCUAUCCCUAGAGAUAGGGAGUGCUUCGGCGCCGUAUACAGGUGGUGCAUGGUUGUCGUCAGCUCGUGUCGUGAGAUGUUGGGUUAAGUCCCGCAACGAGCGCAACCCUCGUUCUAUGUUGCCAGCACGUAAUGGUGGGGACUCAUAGAAGACUGCCGGGGUCAACUCGGAGGAAGGUGGGGAUGAGGUCAAAUCAUCAUGCCCCUUAUGUCUUGGGCUUCACGCAUGCUACAAUGGCCGGUACGAAAGGGCUGCAAUACCGUAAGGUGGAGCGAAUCCCAAAAAGCCGUCUCAGUUCGGAUUGAGGUCUGCAACUCGACCUCAUGAAGUCGGAGUCGCUAGUAAUCGCAGAUCAGCAACGCUGCGGUGAAUAC
rnacentral:rRNA from 1 species